GUGCUUCUGGCUGCUGGCGCUAGUGGUGAGCUUGGUGCUGAGAGGGACUGCUGCCCCAUCAGAGGACACAAAUUCAAGAGGGGCAGGCGAUGGAGGCCCCAAGGAUGCAGCCAAGCAGGAGGCACAGGAAGCGAAGGUGAUCCACGGCAUGUGCUACGUGGCCAGAUGCGUCAAAGGGCACUGGGACGUCAGGUGGAAGUCCGGGUGCAGGACCAGUUUGAUCCAUCCCCAUCGCCUUCAUCCGCCAAGAGGCGCUUGCAACCAUCUUGGCAGCUAGCAAGGCAUCCUUUGUAGCCUCUCUUCUCUCCCCCAAACCAGCCUCCUAAGACGCGCACAGACCGGUCCGGGAAAUGCGAACGAGAGCGGCCAAUCUUGGCGCAAAGGCGCAGCAACGCCAGAACAUUGCCUCUCCAUCUCUUGGAAAGGUUUGCCACGACGCUUCCUUUUAAAACUUGCCAAGCACACUUUGCACAGACGCUGCGUCCCACGGAAUCAGACCAUCGGUCCACGAAGUUCAAUGCUUUCUAGACGGACGGGUGGUUUCUCGGAGGGCUGGAGGGAGCCCAGCAUCAAACGCACCCAGGAUUGAGUUAAGCAUCUUCCAGCUUCGGCUACGAGGGGACCUGCCCGCUGCCAAUACCCACCAACUGUUUUCCCCAGCAGCAACAGAAGGAGCACGAGCGACGCCAUUCCACAUUUUUCGUUCAUUUUUGCCUAGGUAUUUCUGUUCUGUGUCUGCUUAGGUUUCGUUUAGACAUACGUGUGCCUUGUUACUUUUCUGCAUUAAUAAACCCUUGCCCGUAAGAGUG